rnacentral:rRNA from 1 species
AACGAACGCUGGCGGCAUGCCUAACACAUGCAAGUCGAACGUGAUCCGGGACUUCGGUUUCGGUGAAAGUGGCGGACGGGUGAGUAACGCGUGGGAACCUGCCCAGUGGUAGGGGAUAACCGCGGGAAACUGCGGCUAAUACCCUAUGUGCCCUGCGGGGCAAAGAUUCAUCGCCAUUGGAGGGGCCCGCGUCGGAUUAGGUAGUUGGUGGGGUAACGGCCUACCAAGCCUUCGAUCCGUAGCUGGUCUGAGAGGAUGAUCAGCCACACUGGGACUGAGACACGGCCCAGACUCCUACGGGAGGCAGCAGUGGGGAGUAUUGGACAAGUGGGGGCAACCCUGAUCCAGCAAUGCCGCGUGAGUGAUGAA